AGCGAUAUCAAAAUCUAGAAAAGCCAUUUACUGAUAUGAAGGGGCAACUGGAACCCAACUGACCUAACCCUAGACUGUGGCUACUGACCCUCCCCAAUCUUAAAUUUUCCAGAGGAGUUGAGGCUUUUAUCCUCCCAAUGAAACAUGUAGAAUUUGAUAGUCAAAUGGCCAACCAGCUGCUCCCAGUCCAGGUCUGCCAUCACUCUGCAGUGCAAAGCUUGUGCUCACACAGGAAAUACCCCAGAAUACCAAUACAGCAUCUCUGAUUGCAAACCCCAAACCAGGGGAAGCUCAAAGCAGCCAGCCUUGGGUACACUACUUCAUAGAAUUGUAAGAAGGGAAGGGACUUUGAGAGGUCUAAUAGUCCAGUCCCCUCCAUUCAAGGCAGGACUACGUAUUAGAUCAUCCCUGACAGGUGUUCAUCUCAUCUUCCCCACUGUAAACAAGAUAUAGAACAGAGUCUCAAACUGCCCUAAAGGUUACUUAUCUCCAUUGGUCCUUAGCUUCUUCAAUGACAACAAAGCAGGCAACACAUGCCUCACAAAUUAGAUAGGAGGCCCAUAGGAUCACCCAAGGAUGAACAGUCUUUUCCUACUCAGUUAACUUAAAAGAGAAGACCAUCCACACAAUAAAAGAACCAAAGAGCACAGACCUAGAAACUCAAGAUAUUGCACAACCUGCCCCCCAACCCAGACACAGAGGCUAAUCUCCUGACAGUAAACCAAGGAUUACACUUAUUUGACAUCAUGGGCCAUACAAAAAUCUGUCUUCAGUGAUCCCACAGCCUUCGUGAUGGGGAGGAGAGGGAAUUAACAGGGGUGUAAAACAUGGCCUCAAAUCCGCAAACUACCAAACUACCAAUACAAUGAUAAAAACAAGUAGAUCUGUGUGCCUUCUCCACUGCAAGGAAUCACCCAAAGUACAAGCCUCUACAAGACUGCAUCAGAUCUAGACCCCACCACCAUUGUAGAGCUAAGGACAGAUGCAACUCUAAGGACUUUUCUGACACAAAGGACCAAUUUCUUCUGUGUUCCUGAUACCCAAGCUGCAUCCAGUCCUGCCUGUGUUCAGCCCCAGGCCUGCAAUGUCUCUAUGAACCCAUUCACCUUUGCAGUUAGUAUAGCAAAGAAUAAAAAUGUAUUGAAAAAAGAAAGAAAAUCCUAACAUAAGAGUCUUGGAUGGCACCAGACACCAGGACAGGGACAACAGAGCCUUUCUCGUCUACUUCAUCAUUUCCAAGCCAGUCUCUUGUUGGGUAUACAGAAUGGCUGGACUAGUUGGUAGCGAUUUAAAUUCUUUACUGCUUCAUGGCUACUUUGUAGCUCAUCUGAAUGUGAAAUGAUUGGGGGUCUGAUUCCUGUUUCUACCUGACAGCUGUUCAUCUCACCCACAAACUUACCCCACAUUACUGACACUAACUGGCCCCUUUUUGGAAAGUCUCAGUAGAGGGCCAAGGACUGAAUGGGCAUGGACCCUAGAGACUGAACUCCUCUCUCACUUUUGGGGUGACCCCUCCACAGCCAAGGUGAGGCACAGUGGUACGGCAACGUGUAGGAAAGCUUGCUUUUUCACUGCUGCAGGGCUGCCAGCGCUCCAGAUUCUUUUGUGAGUAACAGGUUUUUGGCUGGGCAGGACCCUACUCUUGCAAUGACAGAAGAUCCAGCUCCCUAGUGAAUGGGAUCCCAAGUGAAUCUGAGUUGUCUGCCCGCAUCCUGAGGGCUGAACAACUAAUCUGAACUGCUGCAGGGAGAGUUCUUUGUCUUCUCCUCAGCAACCCCAAGCCAUUCUCAUGGGAGGGGAGGAGAGAGUUGAAGAGCCCAGUAGCUCAGGGGGACUCUGCUUGCUCCUCCUCUGUGAGCAAUGGGGACAGGACAAUUCCUCUGCUCCUCCCCCUCCCUGCAGCACCUGGCCUAAGAAGGGGCAGAGGGCAGCUGAAGAGCCCCUGAAGCUGCCUCCUCUCCAGCCUGGAAGGGUGUGAGGAGACCCCCACUGCAGCCUUCCCCUAGGCCUGGAAGAGGGGACUGAAGAGCCCCAGGAGGAGCAGAGGCACUGGCAAGGAGCAACUAGGAAAACUGGAGGGCUCCCCACAGCUACCUACUGUUACGCAGACAUACCCUGGCAGUUUUGUUACCCUUGUGUCUGAGCAUCUUCUUACUAUUUCACCGAAGGGUGUCGUAUGUAGUUUCUACUGAAAACUAGGAUCAUCAUGGUUAUUGCAAGAUGUUUCAAUAGAAACUAGUUUAAGAGGGCUGUAAAAUGUAGAACACAGUAUUAUGUUGCAAAACUGUUAAAGCGAGACUUGUCACCAGAAGUGAGAUGGGGUCAUAGGCCUAACUCAAUAAGCGCUGAAAACAAUGGACAUUUGUGGAGAUGGCACUUUAUAAUGUCUGGCCAGGUGGAGGCUUGAGCAUUUGCAAAGAUAAAUGAACCCCAGGAGAGCUCUCCAAAGAGUGGGGCCCACUGGGCUGAGACAACAGUCUGAACCUAUAAAAGCAGAAGAAAUGGCACGAGUUGUUAUCCAUUAUUCGGCAAGACUCUGAAAACAAGGGUAUCUCAUGAAAGGUGGAUCCCAGUCUUCUGAACUGGACAAGCACAGUAAGAAUUGGCCAUUUUGUGAGAAAUACCUUAUUAGAUGGGAAAGUAAUUGGUUAAUAUAAACUAUGUUUUAUGUUUUUCUUUUACCUGUAACCUUAUGUUUCCAUAUCCUGUUACUUGCUUUUGUUUGAAUCUUGGUCUCAAACUCUGUUAAAUAAACUUCACUUUGGUUUUAC